rnacentral:lncRNA from 1 species
CACAGCUUUCUGAUUGAUACAUGUAUCAAAUGUAUUAGAAAGGAUUAUAUAUAUAUUACAAUACAAAUCCUUAGUAUUAAUAGAUAAAAAAAAUCAUGGAAUAACUGAGUUAUGAAAAGUCACAUGGCUAAACCUCUAGAAUCCUUGUCUCCUUACACUUGGAAAAUAUAUAGUAUCAAUUCAGUUUUCCAUGAUUUAACUGGUGAUCAAUAUAUUCAUUGCAGCUAAAUAUAUAAGUAUUGUGACAAUAUAAACACAAGAUAAUCAUUUAUAUAGCUGUUGAAAACCAUGUCCAGUCAGGUCAAAUAAAUUAAUUAAUA